rnacentral:rRNA from 1 species
UAUUCCAUAAUAUCAUUUUUACACAUGUAUUAAUGAUUAAAGCUACGGCGGCAAUAGAUGGGCAUGCGUACCAUUAGCUAGUUGGUGAGGUAACGGCUCACCAAGGUUACGAUGGUUAGGGGGUCUUAAAGGAUGAUCCCCCACACUGGUACUGAGACACGGACCAGACUCCUACGGGAGGCAGCAGUGAGGAAUAUUGGGCAAUGGACGCAAGUCUGACCCAGCCAUGCCGCGUGCAGGAUGACUGCUCUAGUAGUUGUAAACUGCUUUUCUAUUUCAUGAACCCCUCUGACGUGUCAGGGGCUGACAGUAGAAUAGGAAUAAGCAUCGGCUAACUCCGUGCCAGCAGCCGCGGUAAUACGGAGGAUGCAAGCGUUAUCCGGAUUUACUAGGUUUAAAGGGUGCGUAGGCGGGGUAUCAAGUCAGUGGUGAAAUCCUGCAGCUCAACUGUAGAACUGCCAUUGAAACUGAUAUUCUUGAGUAUAGUUGAGGUAGGCGGAAUGUGUUAAGUAGCGGUGAAAUGCAUAGAGAUAACACAGAACACCGAUUGCGAAGGCAGCUUACUAAACUAUUACUGACGCUGAGGUACGAAAGCGUGGGGAGCGAACAGGAUUAGAUACCCUGGUAGUCCACGCCGUAAACGUUGAUCACUAGUUGUUUGCGAUACAUUGUGAGCGACUGAACAAAAGCAUUAAGUGAUCCACCUGGGGAGUACGUUGGCAACGAUGAAACUCCAAGGAAUUGACGCGGGCCCGCACAAGC